GACACAUUAAAUGCAUCGAUUGACUGGGACAAUUUAGGUGAACGUUUGUAUGUAACGACCACUGAUCACUAUGUACUUUUUAAAGACACUUAAACUAUGGGGUCACCAAAGGUUCUCAACACCUCAAUAAAGUAAUUCGAAAAAAUUAAUCAGAAAUAACACGAUGUUUUGAUUUAUACCAAUUAUAUAAAUCAAAACAUAAAGGUUAUUCCUGAUUAUUUUUUCGAAUUA
rnacentral:lncRNA from 1 species